AAAAAUGUAAUAAUAUGCAAAAAGAUUGUAAUGAUAAUUUGUAAUAGGAUUGUAAUAAUAUGUAAAAAGAUUGUAAUAAUAAUAUGCAAAAAUAAAAUGCAAUAUGUUGCUAAAUUGUAAUGAUAUUCCACCACCUGUUUCUGACAAACAAAAAUGUUGUUUGAGCAUAAUAUCUAGGUAAGGAAGAUAUAACUGAUCGAUCACCUUUGAUUGUGGUGGUGAAUAAAGGGGUGAAGAUACUAUAGUAUACUGAAUAAAUAUAAUGAAAAUAAAAUGUUGUGUUUUUGUUUCUAAAUUUGAUUGUGUGAGCAUACAUUUUUGAGGUAUUCACUUUUUUAAUAGUUUUUUUUAUGCUGUAUUUUUUUGUUAUUUUUCUAUUUCAUGGAUAAUAUCUACCUGCAAAUAAAGUUCCCAAGGGCAACCACAAUAAUUAGGAAAAAUAAAGUCCACAAAACCAACAUUUGAGCAACACAAACUCUGCUGAAACCUAGGGAUGAACUGAGAGGCUCCAAAACAGCUACAUGAAUGUGGAAAUAUUUUUUUAAAUUUCAGGAUUGUUUCAGAUGGAAACUCUAUCAACUCUGACUGAGAACAAACUGACAUAUUUAGAAUAUAGCAAAGCACUAUCAACCAAUGAAAUCCAGGGAUUUGAUGUUUCUUAAUUUUGAAGAAUUAAU
rnacentral:lncRNA from 1 species